GCACAUGCUCAGUGGCAGAGCACAUGCCUAGCAUGCAUGAGGUCCUAGUUUCAAUUCCGGCA
rnacentral:tRNA from 1 species